GAUGAACGCUGGCGGCGUGCCUAAUACAUGCAAGUCGAGCGAGAAUCUGAUGAUUGGAGAUUCGUCAAAAUGAUUCAGAGGAAAGCGGCGGACGGGUGAGUAACGCGUAGGCAACCUGCCCUUAGCAGAGGGAUAGCCAUUGGAAACGAUGAUUAAAACCUCAUAAAGCUGGAAAGUCACAUGUCAUUUCAGCCAAAGAUUUAUCGGCUAAGGAUGGGCCUGCGUCUGAUUAACUAGUUGGUGAGGUAACGGCUCACCAAGGUGACGAUCAGUAGCCGACCUGAGAGGGUGAUCGGCCACAUUGGAACUGAGAUACGGUCCAAACUUCUACGGAAGGCAGCAGUAAGGAAUCUUGCACAAUGGGGGAAACCCUGAUGCAGCAACGCCGCGUGAACGAUGAGGGCCUUCGGGUUGUAAAGUUCUGAUCUUAGGGAAGAAGAGGUGACGGUACCUAAGGAGAAAGCCCCGGCUAACUACGUGCCAGCCGCCGCAGUAACAC
rnacentral:rRNA from 1 species